UAUCUAGUAAAUUCAGUGUGCUCCAGUUAUGUUACAAAUGUAUGGAAUAUGACAUUACAAUAGAAAGUGGUUUAAACCUUAAUUCUGGAAUACAAUAUGUGUCUAUAAUGGGCACUGUAGGAUAGACAAAUACAAUAUAUUUAUUUUUAGGAUAAAGAUUGGAUAAAUAUGGGAAGAAUAUCUAGACAAAUGUUGUAGUAAAAAAUCACAUUACUGGAUAGUUCUAAAGUUGCAGCACUGAGCAUUGUAACCCUAUGAAAAGCAACUGUUACAGCUGCUGCACAAUCCGACAUGUUAUCUUUGGAUUUUACAACCAUGUGGUGAAGUUUUUAAUGAUAUAAUCAAGCUUCAGCCCCCCAACAGGAGUGAUUUAUGUAUUCUUUAGAAGGUUUCUACACGGAGAAGAAACAUGGGGCAAGUUUAUAAGCAGUUUAUCUAUGGAACCUUUAAUUCUCCUGCUAAAGAAACUGGAAGGUGUGUUCUAAGUACUGUAUUUUGGAGUCCUGGAUUUGAUUUGCAGAACUGCCUGUUGCAACACUGCAAGAAUCUUUGAGGCUGCACUACAUCCCAUGUUACUGUUGAUCCAAAUUACACAUUACCUGAUCCAAAAUAAAACAAACAGAAAAGCAAACAAACAAAAUCAACCCUCCAACCAAAACUACAAACAUAUUUUUAACUAGUUUUAAAAUCUAUCAUUUCAGUGAUCGGAUUAAUAGAGUGAAACCUAAGCGUGACCAAGGGAGCACUAAACUAUGGCACAGGACAUGAACAAACAGAUGGAACUUUUAAAUCUGGUUCUGAUGCAACCAGAAGUGUUCAUGUAGCUCUAUCUCAAGCUAAUUAUCCAUCCUGCAUAUUAGAUGAAGUGAGGCCCUGAGGGAAAAAUAUACAAUUCUGUAAUUAAAGAGUAUAAUAAUGAAUCAAAAUAUAGUUUUUGUAG